AUUUAACAGGCUAGAAAACUUUUUGCUUCCAAAUUAUAUAUGCCUUAAACUGAUUUUGCAUCACUUCAACUUCUUAGCUAAAUUGUAGUGAUGAAAAAUUAAGAGCAAGUUGUUUGUAUGGUAUUCUGCAAAGGGGACUUAUUGAAGAAAUAAAUAAAUAAAUAAAUAAUCAAGGCUAUCAAUGGGAUUAUAGAGGGCUUUCUGGACAUGGUAUGAUUUGUAAAUAUUUGUAAUGGGGUUUUAUACAAAUAAGGGUUUAUUCAACUUAUUGUAAAGCUUUACAAAUAACAUCACUCAUAAAAAAUGUAUUAUACAACUUACAAUUAGGUCUAUUGAAAAUUAUGGAUGUUAAAAAUUCGUUAGUGUUAAGUAGAAACAAAUUAAAGUUGAUUUGUUUAGCAAAUAAAAAUUCAUGAAGUUAAUUCAUUUAUAAAAUGUGAACAAAUUUCAGGGAAAAAAUAAUAAUUUACUUAACAUUAAAAUGUAAAAUUGCUGUUAAGCAAACAGGCAACAGUGAAAUAAUGAAAUAUAAAAUUAUGCAAAAAUGAUCAACAAGCAAUUUUAAUUUUCUAGAUAUUCUUUCAAUACAUAAAGAAAGAUCAAAUUUUGUUUUCUAGAUUUUCUUUCUAUAAAUGAAGAAAUCAACUGUUUUCAACAGAUUUUGAGGUAGAAAAAGCCAAAAUCUAUCUUGAACAAUGAAUUUAUAUUUUUUGGGGAGAUGGGAUACCUCACUGGUUUGUUGUUUGUGGUGCUGUGUAUCUGAAAUUCCGGGGAGGUGAGAAGGGGAGAGAGAGUGGUAACAAUGGUGAAAGGUCAAAACCAAGAGAGGUGUCCUUUAAAAUGAGCUAUACGCUUGCAAAACAAUGAAAUAGAGGUUAGAGAUGAAGCCGGGAUACCCCAGCGUUCACACUCCGACGCUCAAGUUUGCAAACUCAAGCUUUUAUGGUCAAGAGAGCUAGCUAACCCUCUGUAAAUUAGAGUUUAAAUUUGAAGAAAACUUAUUUUUUAGAGUGUGAGUGUUAAUGGUGAGUGAGAACAUCCUGGAGAAUGAAACCUAGACACCUUUAUAUAUAGAGUACCUCAGCUGCCACGUGGCAUACCCUUUUUGGCUAACGUCCUUCUAUCGUUUUUAUAAUUUUUGGGUCGUUAUGUGCAUGUUCGCGACAUAUCUCAUCCUUUGGAAACGUGGCACACGCUGGAGAGUGGUCUAGGGUACCUCUGCAGUAGCUGUCGGGUAGGCGGCUAGGGACCACUGUCCUUGGGAUAGUGUCCUUCAUUUUGGCAGAGGUGGCAGGCGGCUGUCCCUCCUUUUAGCACAUCAAUUUUUAUUCCUAAUUCUAACAAAAUCGAAUAAUAUCUUUUAGGAGGCGGAGACGUUUCUCAUAGCAGAUAUUUUUAAAAGAUUCUCUUGCAUCUGUUCUGCCGGGUACCUCGAGUUACGUGGGGUACCUCUUAUUAUGCGGAGUACCCUUAUUUAUGUGGGGUACCUCUAAUUGUGCAGGGUACCUCUAUUUGUACGGGGUACCUCAAAUCACGCCAGACAUCUCGGAUUGUGCGGGGUACCUCAGAUUGUACUGAAAUCAUUCUAUUAGUCGACACGUGGCGCUUUACUGCCUUUUCUAUUUUUCCCUCAAACAUCAACUAUUCCACAACCUUGAUUGUUAAAAGUUGAAUGCAUGAAUGUGUCUCUAUUCAAAACCCCAUGCUUCAACAAGAAUUCUUCAAACUUUAAACUAACUUAACUAGCAUCUCAAUCAAUUACAUGUUACAACUAUAAUCGAAGGAAUUAGGACCACCAACAAAAUCCAAUAAACAAUCAAGCAAAUAGAAACUAACUCAAACAAUCGGAUUUUGCCAAUUGAGCUGCAACUUGGACUCAGCUUCAUAUAUGAGGCACAAGGCAUUAAGCAAAACGUAACUAGUAUAGGGGAAAAUACACACACACAAAAAGCACCAAGAAAGUAAAUAAUUUCAAAUAAAAAUAGACAUUCUCACCAGAACUAAAAUAAAAGCAGUUUGAAGCUAGCCGAAAACAAAGAAGAUGAAGAACAAACAAAUAUUCAAGAAUCAAAACACCAAUCCAAAAAAUGAAGAAGUUCGGGGGAGGAAAAACGGAGACAUGAAACAUAAUUAUCUAAUUUUAAAAACCUGCCACAGAAUUAAUCCUUGAGUCGUCGCAAGCUUAAAUAGGCAUGCAAAAAAUCCUGUUUUCCAUCAAAUCAGGAAAAAAAAAUUUAAUCAAACCACGGAUAUAAAAAAAAUAAAACCCUAGUCCAAAUUCAAACAAUAAAGUGAGAUCAAUUUGGAAAAGAGAAUGAAAGCCAUUGAAAGAAAUAGAGCAAACCCUAACCUUUGUUUAUCUAGCGAAGAACAGAAGGCUUAAGUAGAUGCUGGCAACUUUUGAAGAAUGAGGGAGAAUAUGGAUGUUGCAUUAUGAAAUUUUUGGGAGAAUGUCUGCAGCUGUUGAUCCCGAGGAGGGAAAAUUUUAAGUACUUGAACUUAACAGUAAU
rnacentral:lncRNA from 1 species